rnacentral:lncRNA from 1 species
GCCUCGAACUCACAGUAGUUUUCUAACAUUGCCUUCCAAGUGCUGGGAUUACAGGUGUGCACCACCAUGCUUGGCUUGCAAGUUACAUAGAGCCGAAAGGUAGAGAGAUGCCAUUUUAGGAUCCACAGCGAGGGGAGAGUGUUGAUGUUGCUGAGUGUGAGUGAGGCGGUGGCCCUGAGGGACUGCUGUGGUUCCUCCCACCUGAGAGUCCUUUCAGCCAUCAGCAUGCCCUUGGAUUAGAGCACAUGUCCAAGGGUAUUCUCCAGGUCGUAAUGUCUGAAUUCAUCUCAAGUAGGCUUUGAGCUUUUCCCGAAUCACCGUGCUGAGAUUUAUCUAGAUUUUCCUUCUAUGCCUUCCCACAUUUAAAGAUCUUGAGUUACUGAUUAUAUUUUGACUCUUUUGAACUUUUCCUAAAAUGAAUUUCUGUAACCAAGUCUUGUUUCUCCUCCCACCCCAUUUAGGGGGAAAUUACCUCAUACCUUGUUUUAGCUAUAUUAAAUACUGAUAGUUUAGUCAGUGAAAAUAGGAUUUAAUUAAAAAACAAAACAAAACAAACAAACAAACAAACAAAAAAACCCUACCGGGCUGGAGAGAUGGCUCAGUGGUUAAGAGCACCGACUGCUCUUCCAGAGGUCCUGAGUUCAAAUCCCAGCAACCACAUGGUGGCUCACAGCCAUCUGUAAUGGGAUCUGAUGCCCUCUUCUGGUGUGUCUGAAGACAGCUACAGUGUACUUAUAUAUAAUAAAUGAAUAAAUUUUAAAAAAAAAAAAACAAAAACCCUACCACUAAGUUAGUGUUUGUCAUUGGAAAUUAGAAACUGUCUUAAGAAUCAACAUUCUAUAGGGACAAAACCAAAAAUAAACAUCAAUUGUGUGUUUUUUUACUAUAAAAAUCUCUAGUUUCAGGCUGACGAGAUGGCUCAGCAGCUAAGUGUGUGUUGUACAGAUCUGACAACCUGACCCCAAUCUCGGAACCCGUGGAGGAGGGAAGAGCCGGCUGCAGUUACCUCCUCAACCUCCAGUGAGCCCACCUGAACGCCCUAUCCAUGCACAGGCCACACAGUUCUUCCUUAAUGUGCAUGGGUGUUUGCCUGCAUGUAUGUUUGCACCGUGUGCACGCAGUACCCAAGGCGGUGGACUAGAAUAGGGCAUUAAUUGGAUUUGCUGUAAUUGGAAUUAAAAGACUUUUAUGAGCUACCAUGUAGAUGCAUCAAACCUGGUCCUCCGGAAUAACAGUCAGUGUUCUUAACCACUGAUUCAGCUCUCUACCCUACCCCCUACAAGUUAAAUAAAAAUAAAAAAAUUUCCAGUGUCUUCAUACCUAACCAAACUCUAUUUGAAAAGAUUUCUGUGCCUCCCCCCCACACCCCACCUCUUUAUGGUUUUCAUCCACUUGGCUUUUCCUAUCCAGCAGUAUGUCGGAUAUGUUGAUUUGGGUGUGUUGAUGUUCUCUGUGUGGGCCCAAGAAGGAAGCUUUUGUCUGGUGGUGGUGUUUGACACUUUGGUCAUUUUCAGUUCCUCACACUAUGGUGCAAAGAUCUGGAAUCCGUGGCCCUAGCAGAAGUCUCCAGCAUUUCUGCCGUGGUGAAGGGUGAUGAAAACAUCAAGUCCAGGUUUCCCCUAUCUCAGAUGCAAUGCUCUUACUUUCUCUGCCCAAAUAACGGGCCGAUGCAGAGUUUGGGGUGUGUUUGUGUCAGAGAGCCUUUGUCGUAUUUGCUCUCUGAACUGGGAGAAUCCGUUGGUCUUUUUGGUUUGGUGAAGCUGUUUUACCUAGGGCUACCUGGCUCCCUUGAAAGCAAGGCUCUGGCCAGUGCUUGUCCUGCAGGUCGCUUUGUAUUCACGUUUGUCCCGGCUCUCUGCUGUUACUGCCUGCUCUCUGUGAGCUCGAUUUCAUUAAUAAAAGGUCUCAAAUGGGGUAAAA